CGAGGGUGCAAGCGUUAAUCGGAAUUACUGGGCGUAAAGCGAGUGUAGGUGGCCGCAUAAGUCGGAUGUGAAAGCCCUGGGCUUAACCUGGGAAUUGCAUUCGAUACUGUGUGGCUAGAGUCUGAUAGAGGGAAGUGGAAUUCCAGGUGUAGCGGUGAAAUGCGUAGAUAUCUGGAGGAACAUCAGUGGCGAAGGCGGCUUCCUGGAUCAAGACUGACACUGAGGCUCGAAAGCGUGGGGAGCGAACAGGAUUAGAUGCCCUGGUAGUCCACGCCCUAAACUAUGUCAACUAGACGUUGGGUUCUUUAAUGAACUUAGUGUCGAAGCUAACGCGUUAAGUUGACCGCCUGGGGAGUACGGCCGCAAGGUUG
rnacentral:rRNA from 1 species